rnacentral:rRNA from 1 species
UACGGGGGGGGCAAGCGUUGUUCGGAAUUACUGGGCGUAAAGGGCUCGUAGGCGGCCAACUAAGUCAGACGUGAAAUCCCUCGGCUUAACCGAGGAACUGCGUCUGAUACUGGAUGGCUUGAAUCCGGGAGAGGGAUGUGGAAUUCCAGGUGUAGCGGUGAAAUGCGUAGAUAUCUGGAGGAACACCGGUGGCGAAGGCGGUUGCCUGGGGCUUUGCUGACGCUGAGGCGCGAAAGCGUGGGGAGCGAUCCGG